rnacentral:rRNA from 1 species
CCUACGGGAGGCAGCAGUGGGGAAUCUUGCGCAAUGGGCGAAAGCCUGACGCAGCCAUGCCGCGUGAAUGAUGAAGGUCUUAGGAUUGUAAAAUUCUUUCAGUAGGGACGAUAAUGACGGUACCUACAGAAGAAGCCCCGGCUAACUUCGUGCCAGCAGCCGCGGUAAUACGAAGGGGGCUAGCGUUGCUCGGAAUUACUGGGCGUAAAGGGAGCGUAGGCGGACAUUUAAGUCAGGGGUGAAAUCCCAGAGCUCAACUCUGGAACUGCCUUUGAUACUGGGUGUCUUGAGUGUGAUAGAGGUAUGUGGAACUCCGAGUGUAGAGGUGAAAUUCGUAGAUAUUCGGAAGAACACCAGUGGCGAAGGCGACAUACUGGAUCAUUACUGACGCUGAGGCUCGAAAGCGUGGGGAGCAAACAGGAUUAGAUACCCUGUAGUCACGCGUAACGAAUGAUNUNUGUGUGGUGUGUUAUAUAUCGUGUCGCGANACACGACAUAAUANACACGCCGUCGGUAGGGUACGGGUACGGUACGACGAAGUAAAUUAAAAUUAAAGUUAAGUAGUUAGUUGNGNGAGNGCGACGACGACGACGAGGAGGAGGAG